CCUACGGGGGGCAGCAGUGGGGAAUAUUGGACAAUGGGGGCAACCCUGAUCCAGCCAUGCCGCGUGUGUGAAGAAGGCCCCCGGGUUGUAAAGCACUUUCAGUGAGGAAGAACGCCUGGUGGUUAAUACCCAUCAGGAAAGACAUCACUCACAGAAGAAGCACCGGCUAACUCCGUGCCAGCAGCCGCGGUAAUACGGAGGGUGCGAGCGUUAAUCGGAAUUACUGGGCGUAAAGCGCGCGUAGGUGGCUUGAUAAGCCGGUUGUGAAAGCCCCGGGCUCAACCUGGGAACGGCAUCCGGAACUGUCAAGCUAGAGUGCAGGAGAGGAAGGUAGAAUUCCCGGUGUAGCGGUUAAAUGCGUAGAGAUCGGGAGGAAUACCAGUGGCGAAGGCGGCCUUCUGGACUGACACUGACACUGAGGUGCGAAAGCGUGGGUAGCAAACAGGAUUAGAUACCCUAGUAGUC
rnacentral:rRNA from 1 species